CGGAGAGUUUGAUCCUGGCUCAGAUUGAACGCUGGCGGCAUGCCUUACACAUGCAAGUCGAACGGCAGCACGGAGCUUGCUCUGGUGGCGAGUGGCGAACGGGUGAGUAAUAUAUCGGAACGUACCCUAGAGUGGGGGAUAACGUAGCGAAAGUUACGCUAAUACCGCAUACGAUCUAAGGAUGAAAGUGGGGGAUCGCAAGACCUCAUGCUCGUGGAGCGGCCGAUAUCUGAUUAGCUAGUUGGUAGGGUAAAAGCCUACCAAGGCAUCGAUCAGUAGCUGGUCUGAGAGGACGACCAGCCACACUGGAACUGAGACACGGUCCAGACUCCUACGGGAGGCAGCAGUGGGGAAUUUUGGACAAUGGGCGAAAGCCUGAUCCAGCAAUGCCGCGUGAGUGAAGAAGGCCUUCGGGUUGUAAAGCUCUUUUGUCAGGGAAGAAACGGUGAGAGCUAAUAUCUCUUGCUAAUGACGGUACCUGAAGAAUAAGCACCGGCUAGCUACGUGCCAGCAGCCGCGGUAAUACGUAGGGUGCAAGCGUUAAUCGGAAUUACUGGGCGUAAAGCGUGCGCAGGCGGUUUUGUAAGUCUGAUGUGAAAUCCCCGGGCUCAACCUGGGAAUUGCAUUGGAGACUGCAAGGCU
rnacentral:rRNA from 1 species